UAGGAACAUUAUCAUAAUAUACAUACACAGGAGGAGGAAGACGCAUCCUAGAAAAAAGUACAACAGUACUUUUUGCGGUAGACAGCUCAAGACCAUUGUUAUCCAUCCAUUUCUUUAAAAGAGUGAGACCCGAUGACAAUGAAUCACAGGCCGUUGUAACAGAGUAAUUUGGGCAAUACAACAGAAGAUCAUCAGCAUAUUGGAGCACUUUCACUUCAUUAUUUAGAGAAGAUUCAAGAUCGUAAGUAUAAAUGUCAUAAAGUAGAGGACUAAGAACUGAACCUUGAGGGAGACCUCUCCACACGACUCUAGAUUCACAAGAAUCCUCGUGAGUAAGUUUUAUAUACCUCUCAGAUAAUAUAUUUAAAAUGAAAUUUACAAGCAUUAUAGGCACAUUUAACUGCAGAAGUUUAUAUUUUAACAUAGAAAUUACAACGUUAUCGUAAGCCGAAGUGAUAUCCAGAAAAGCUGAAACUAUGGAGUGAUUGGAAGAAAAUGCUAAUCUAAUGUCAGUGAUAAAGAUACUUAGACUAUCUAGGGUACUUUUACCACGCCUAAAACCAAAUUGACUUUCGCUUAAUAUUUUGUUACUUUCUAUAAACCAUUCUAAUCUAUUUUUAGCUAAGUGUUCCGAGAUCUUUAACAUUACAGAUGACAAAGCUAUUGGUCGAUAAGAUGAGCAGUCAGAAGGACUUUUGUUGGGUUUCAAAAUUGGAAGGAUAUCUUGCGAUUUCCAAGAAAUGGGAACCUUACCAGAAAUUACAAUUUGAUUAAUUAAUUUUAAGUAAUAUAAAAGAGAUAAAUCACUCAUAUUAGCCAGAAAAGAGUAAGGUAUACCAUCUGCACCUGGUGCAGAGUCUUUGAUUUGGUACAAAACACCUUUUAGCUCUUCUAAAGUAAAUGGAUUAUCGAGUACGCAGGGAGGAUCUGAUAAUGUGUAAGGCAUAUGAUACGCAGAUAUAUUAUCUGGGACGUAUGGGGGAGCUAAUUUAUCUAAAAAACUAUUUCUUAAUUGAGGUGGAAGGCAUGCAGUAACCGGUUCAGAGAAAACUGAUCUGAAUCUUCUUAUGUUGCGCCAAACAAGAGAAGGUUUAACAUUUGGUGAUAUGGAAAGACAAAAUGAUCUCCAGCCCUCAAACUUCUUUUUUUUUAAUAACUUUUUGGUGUCUGAAAUUACUUCACAUAAAAUGUCAAAAUUUUCUUCGGUAGAAUUUUCAAAGUAGAACAGUUCACACUGCUUUCUUUUGUGUAUAGCAUCUGUGCAAUCCCUAUCCCACCAUGGUGGCAAUGGGAUUUUGUUUUGUGAUUUUUUAUGAGGGAAAAGAUUAUCGGCAGUUUUUAUCAUGGCAUCUGAUAAAGCAUCAGCACAAGCCUGUUCAUUCCCACUUUGAAUUUCAGGAAGGCUAGAAACGAUUUUAUCCAAGUGUUCCCUAUACGUAUGCCAGUUUAUAUCAGUUAGUUUAUACUUCAACCGCGGAGGGCGACUGGAAUAAGAUUUUUGGCUGGAUGGAAAUUUUAAAACUAUGGGAAAAUGAUCACUACCAUAAGUAGAAGGCAUAACUUCCCAACUCAAAUGCGAGGCUAGUUUAUUAGUGCAUAGUGACAGGUCAGGUGCACUGGCACCUUCAUUUGGAGAUGUGCGUCGACACUACCCCAUACUUCAUGUUGAGAAUUAAAAUCCCCUAAAACUAUAAAUGGUUUGGGAAGAAGAGAUAAAAUAUUUACAAGUUCAUUAAAGAUUGAAGAAGAAGGACGAGGAAUAUAUACAGAAACGAAACAUAUACUAUCUACAACAGCUGCAAUUAUGGAGAAUGAAUUAUUAUGAGAUGGGAGUGAGAAAAGUGAAAAUGAAUGAUGAUGCCUGAUGAGUAAGGCUACACCGCCAUACCCAUCAGAACGGUCUUCCCUAAGACAGGCGUAGCCAGGGAUCUUAAACAAAGACCCUGGUUUAAGCCAUGUCUCUUGUAGGGCAAAAACUAUAGGUUUAAAAUUAUUGACAAGAUGUAUUAUAUCAGAUUUCUUAUUAAUUGCGCUUCGACAAUUCCAUUGUAUUGCCUUGGCUUUGUGUUCCAUUAUGAAUAUUCUUUUCAGAAACUGCAUUAAUUACAGUGGCAGCGAUGGUCGGUGAGAGGAGUUGAGUCUGGGUUAAAGAUUUAAUUAGUGCUAUGAUUAACUCAUUUACUGAGGCUGAUGAUAGAUCAUCUCUGGGGAUGAGAGCACAACCAUCUUUUGGUUGAGGCAGACCCCUAGCGAGUUCUUGAUGGAAUUGCUGAUCAUAACCUUUUGAAAACUGAGGGGGGGAACGAGGCUUAAUAAAUACAGUUUUUUUAUAA